ensembl:lncRNA
CACGGUCCUAUAUUCACUCGAUUCAACACGCUCUUUGACACAAUGGUGAGUGUCAUUUAAGUUACAUUAUUAAUACUCCAUUGUUUGUUUUAGAAGAUGUUUUUCAAAGAUGUAACAAAACUUAGGUCAAAAAUACAAAACUGUAAUACAAAUGCAAUACUCAUAGUUUUACAAGUAGCCUACCAUCCAUGAAAAAACAUGCAAUACAGCGUGAAAGUGUUUUCAGUAAAAAGUACACUGUGGCUUUCGCAACAGAUGUUCAGAAUGACUCUGUGUACCAGCUCAGUUUUCUGUGAAAGAGGUUUGCCAAUUUUACUCAUACUAUUGGAUUAAUUUAAAUAAGUUUAAUUUCCCAUAUUUCCUGACGUAAUGUCUACUUACUGCAGCUGGCAAGUCUGCAUGUUUCAGGAAGUAUGUGGGAGGUACAUGUAUGUGAACGCUUUACACUGGGUUUCAACUUGGCUGUAGAUAAGUUGAUAUUCAUAACCUGAUCUCUCUGGCUUAGUGUCUGUUUGUUUAUAGUUGCAUAACUUAUUUAACCAGUGUAGCUACACUUUUCUGUUUUUACUGAACUGAACAAUUAUUCCUUCAGAUAAAAAAGAAAGACAAAGACAAAGAUAAUUGCCAUUGGCUUCUGCCAAAUACUGAAUUGUAAAAAAAAAAAAAUAAUCCAGGACAUUCUAAUGUAUCUUGUAAUUGUACAAUGAUCCUGAUCUUUGAGCUUGCACAAUGAGCCUUGUUUUUUGUGUUCAAGAUGUUCCAGGUCCAUACAACCAGAAAAGUACAUUUAUUUGUAUCCAUGCUGGUGGUUUGUUCCUCAGUGUCUGAUGGACAAAUUACAACUGGACCCCCUGGACCCCCUGGACCCCCUGGACCUCGUGGACCCCCUGGAACCAGUGGAUUCCCUGGAGCCAGAGGAUCUGUUGGAGCCAGUGGAGCCAGUGGACCCCAAGGAACCCGUGGAGAGAGUGGACCCCCUGGAAAAGAUGGACCCCGUGGAGCCAGUGGACCCCCUGGCACUAGUGGAUCACCUGGCCAGGAGGGACCUACUGGUCCCCCAGGAAUCUGCACCUAUUCUGAAGGAUGUGAGACAAGCACUUUUGAUCAAAAUGGACUGACAUUGAUUGCUAUAGUAGGAUGUGUUCUUGCUGUCCUGGAUGCUGCUGCCUUGAUUGCUGUUGUUAUUUUCCAGAUCAAGAAGAGAAACACAGCAGUGAGAGACUCCGGAGUGCAUUCCCAGAGGCCUGAUAUGGACCCUCCUGAUGAUACAUACACAGCUCUGAAUCUCAGAACAAGAUCACCUGAUUAUGACACUCUUGAUCAUUCCAGGAACCCACCAAGAGCACGUGGCCGAAGCCAUCAGUGAAUACUGAAGCCUCUGCAAACUCCAGCUGAUGUUGAACUUGCAUAACUCCAUACACCUUAGGAUAGCAACCAACAGGGGACAGUGUUUUACAAACAUAGAUACUGAUCUUGUGUGUGUGUGAAUAUGUGCAUGCGCGCAAGUGUGUAUGUGCAUACAAUGUAUUUGAGGGGAUUAGGACAUAUGAUAUAAGUGAGAUAACUUCAGUAAGAACAAGUGAAUAACAUGUAGACUUAAUUAUUCAUGUAUGUUUGGAUGUGUGUGUGUGUGUGUGUGUGUGUGUUUAUGUGUGUGUGUGUGUAUGUGUCUGUGUUUUCCAGCAUCUCAGCGUAGAAAUUCAAAAUACUGUUGGAAAUUCAUAACAAAAGUGCAAAAUUAAUAUUAUUUUGAUGAUACGAUGACAGCUUAUGUCUGUUUGUUUUAUCCUUUAUUUGCAAAACCGUUUUUCAACUUUCAUUCUUGUCAUAUUCUGUCCAUGGUAAUGGGUCAAAUAAACAAAGUUACUUGUGUUCUUAGGCA